rnacentral:lncRNA from 1 species
GGGGGGAAGUGGCAGCAUAUCCAGUGUUCAGGAGACCAAGAGGGGCACGUUAGGGGGGAAGUGGCAGCAUAUCCAGUGUUCAGGAGACCAAGAGGGGCACGUUAGGGGGGAAAGUGGCAGCAUAUCCAGUGUUCAGGAGACCAAGAGGGGACAAGUUAGGGGGGAAAGUGGCAGCAUAUCCAGUGUUCAGGAGACCAAGAGGGGCACGUUAGGGGGGAAAGUGGCAGCAUAUCCAGUGUUCAGGAGACCAAGAGGGGCACGUUAGGGGGGAAAGUGGCAGCAUAUCCAGUGUUCAGGUGUCUUACUUCAUUAUGAAACUCAGGUGUAAGAUCUCUGGAACACAUCAUGAUCAGUGGCUGGCACACAGAAGGGACUUUAUCCUCACUAAUCUGCCCAACUUUCAAAACAGCAGAAAAUGAUUCUACUAUUUUUUGCAGUGGUGUGGAACCUAGUGUCCAAGUUACUUAGGAUGUUGUCCAUAGCAGUUAAAAACCACUGUUUCCAAAACACCAUUACUGCACUGUCCUGAGCUGUCUCCUCUUGAGAGGUCUCAUCAUGGAAUCUCUUCCCUUUCCUCUGGUGGUUGUGUUCCGUGCUACAUUGAGGUGCAUCAUCCCAGUGUUGCCUCAGACAGGAGAGACUCCCAUCCAUCUCUAAGAGCCUGCAUCUCUUCCUUUAAGGCUAUUGAUAUUGGCUGCCACUGUGUCAAGUGAGAUUUGUCCUGACUGGAGAAUCACAUUCCUGUCCUCAAUGAAUUGCAGAACCUGCAAUUAUGCCAACUGACAUGUCAUUCAACACAAUGCUGCUCACCUCCUUCAGUUGGGAGACAGGGCUGGUUCAGGGGUAUGGGGAUGGGGAGACAGGGCAGGUUCAGGGGUAUGGGGAUGGGGAGACAGGGCUGGUUCAGGGGGAUGGGGAUGGGGAGACGGGGCUGGUUCGGGGGGGAUGGGGAGACAGGGCUGGUGAGCCUGAAGCUGUAUCUGGAGGGCCUGGCACCAGGCAGGGGCAGGGACAACGGAUUUAGUAUGAAUAGCUUGCUAAAGGUUUUCUUGCAUUGAUUAAAUGUCGGAUAAAAGAGGAGCGAAAUGUAAACAUUCAACAUUUUCCGUGAAGAUAUGAAGUAACUAAUGUUAGGGGAGCAAAAGUAGCCUGUUUCACUAUGGACUAAACUAACAGGUUCAUUUCCACCACUCACGGACUACACACUCCUUCCUUUGUGAAGAAAUGGGUGACAUUCUGUCACCGUUUCUUUUCUCUCUCCUGUCUUUCUUUUCUUUCUUUCCGUUUUUGGAAGCCAGAUUUUUAUUUUGGAAGCUGAGACAUGGGCAAUUCACUGCUAGCAAGUACCGCCUGGUUUGGGGGCAGGACCGAACCAUUUCAUGUAAAUAGAGAGGGGGGGGCGAGGCUCUCUGGAUGUUUACUUUUUGCCAAAAACAAGAAAGGAAAACGAAACCGUUCGUUUUAUUAGUACAUUGUAAAUCAAAUAUUAUAUUAUUAUUAUAAUAGGUUAAUAAUUUAAUAUUGAAAAAAAUAUAUACCUAAUGUUCUAAUAAUUGUUUAGGGCCCCUGUCAGUCACAGGCCCUUAGAACAGUCCUAACUUUCCCCCCUAUAUGGCGCCCCUGCAGGGGAUCAAUAACAUGGGCCUGGUUUAGUUGGAAGCCCUUUCACCACGUCAAGGUACAGGCCGAGAGAAGGAUUUCGUUUUUUAAUUAAGGCCUUUAACCCCCUGCUCUAUCUUUGUAGUGUGUGACUUGAUGGGGCUUGGAUAGGUGUAGCAAUAUGGUGCUGACUCAACCCAGCUGUGAAAUGGGCUUGGAUAGGUGUAGCAAUAUGGUGCUGACUCAACCCAGCUGUGAAAUGGGCUUGGAUAGGUGUAGCAAUAUGGUGCUGACUCAACCCAGCUGUGAAAUGGGCUUGGAUAGGUGUAGCAAUAUGGUGAUGACUCAACCCGGCUGUGAAAUGGGCUUGGAUAGGUGUAGCAAUAUGGUGCUGACUCAACCCGGCUGUGUAAUGGACUUGGAUAGGUGUAGCAAUAUGGUGCUGACUCCACCCGGCUGUGUAAUGGGCUUGGAUAGGUGUAGCAAUAUGGUGAUGACUCAACCCGGCUGUGUAAUGGACUUGGAUAGGUGUAGCAAUAUGGUGAUGACUCAACCCGGCUGUGAAAUGGGCUUGGAUAGGUGUAGCAAUAUGGUGAUGACUCAACCCGGCUGUGAAAUGGGCUUGGAUAGGUGUAGCAAUAUGGUGAUGACUCAACCCGGCUGUGUAAUGGACUUGGAUAGGUGUAGCAAUAUGGUGCUGACUCAACCCGGCUGUGUAAUGGACUCCGGGACACUUCUGCCAUAUUACAUACACAAAUCUAGAACCUCCAGAUAUGCAAACACUAACUAAAAACCAAUGUCCAAUUCCAUACCAACCCUGGUCUAAAAUUAGAUUUGGAAUUGGACACAGAAGAUGAAUGGCUAGGGAGAAGGGGUUAAGGACCAGGUAGCCUAGUGGUUAGAGCACUGUGCCAGUAACCAAAAGGUUGCUAGAUUGAAUCCCUGAGCUGACAAAGUAAAAGUCUGUUGUUCUGCCCCUGAACAAGGCAGUUAACCCAGAGUUCCUAGGCCGUCAUUGAAAAUAAGCGUUUGUUCUUGCCUAUUUAAACAAAGGUUACAUUUUUUUUUUUUUUUUUUUAAGUCUGUAACUGGGCAACUGAACAGUGAAUUUCAGUCAAUUGAACAUUUUACUUGCAAUGAAUACAUUUAAUAUGCAAAUGUAUACAUUUACAGCCAAUUCGAGCAAGUUUCAAAUAUUUACCAGCAAACAAAUGGAAAAAUAUACAAAUAUUUACAUGCUUGUAAACAUUACUUGGAAUACAAGACAGAUACGUAUGCUAUAUACUUACCAAACAACUUACCAUCUUCACAGCCAAUAUCUGAAAAAAAACCCCACAUCUUUAUACAAAUUUAAAACAAUAUUUCAACCGGUUAGGCAGGACACAGGUAGCCUUCACACGCCUGAAUUCCUCCAGGAGGCAGUCCCAGAUGACCCUGGUCACCCAACCUUGCAGUGCCCUACACGGUAACUGUAGGCAAUCGUUUUGAAGGAAUCUCCAGUUACAAGGUAUCUGUAGGAAUAUGGAAGACAAUGUAAUUAUUAGACUGUUACAUCACCAGGUCAUUGUGGAUUACUAAAGUAUAAUAUCCCUG